GUAUUGUGCUUGGGUUCAAAUAUUUCGGCUGGAAGUUUUCGUGCAGCUGCAGAAUAAUUUAGAGUACAGUUCCCGGACCUUAUUCAUGUGUUCUUUUUAUAGGUGUAUGGAAGUACAAGUACGCUAUGGCUAAUUUGUUCCUCUUUUUUUGUUGUUACCGUGUCCUAGCUCAGGUGUUCUUCGGCUAAAAUUAGGCUGCUCCUGCCAUGUCUACCAGUGAAAUGCCUCCUUCCAUGAUAAAGCAGCCUACUCUUAGGUACUUGCAUAUGGUUGAACCGUCGGUUGUUCAGGCUUUUUUAGUAGUGAUUUCGUGCACCAAUAAAUAGAUGUUCCUACUAUCUUAGAAAGUUUUAGCACGUGACAAGGGAAACUUGAUUUAUUGUUUGUGUGCUGCCUAAUUUGUUUUGCAGGUACAGAUCUUGGUGUUGAUUCUGCCUCACCUUUCCAGUCGGUAGUGGUUUGGUUUGCUGCAGGUUUCCUCGGUUUUCAGGUAGCACCCCUCCCCCAUUUAUUUUACUUAGGUUUGAUGAAAUUUGGAUAUUGUUUGUUGUCGAAUGGAUUCAGAACCAUUGUACUGGCAUAAAAAAAUAGAUGGUGAUGUAUUGACACAUUCCAAGUGUAGAAUUACUUAGUGCCUUUCUUAGUGUGUGCGCAGUCCUUCAUAGAUGUUUACUAUGGUGCCUGCUAUUGGUCAUAGUCAUAGGGAUGAUAUUUACCUUACUAAAAGGGCAAUGGCUCAUUACAUUGUUAAUUCCGGUUGCUUGGUUCAGUGUCAUACAAUAUGAUGCAGAAAAUACUAUAGUGGUUUUUAUUCAGAGAAAGCACUUGAUAAGAAGGGAUUCAGAAGAAGCAACUAAAUAGAUAGGGCGAGCCUUGCAUAUAUAAAUGAAAAAACAAUUUGUUACCAUGAUUCAAUUGCACAUAUAUCUUGAGUUGGAUCAACACGUCACAUUUGAUAUAGUGAUUUGUCAUGAGUGCCCUUUGUGAGAUUUAGUGAUUUUAGAAGAGCAUUGAUUCAGAAUUAACAAACUUUGUUCUUCGAUAUGGAAGAAUAUGUUGUGUUGUUGCUAUCGAGAUCUAGCUUUCUAAUUGUUGAUCCUCUUCUAGGCUAUUGGUGUUGUCAAUUCACAGGACAAAAGAAUUUUGGGGUUUCAUGGCAUCAUAACCUUAUUGAUGGUUUUGUAGGAAUUGGGCAAAGCUUGAGGAUGAUGUAGACCGCUGCGCCACCUCUCUUGUCAUCCUGGUCGCUGCCUAGCCACUUUCUUCGAUUCAGAGGCUUGUGCCACUACAGGUCUGUGAUUCUUAUCCACUCACCCAUUGCAGUGUAGCUUCACAUUCUUGGGUUUUUAGUUCUUCAUUUCUUCUUUUUGGUGACCGGUUGAGCUGAUUUAGCUCUUUUCUUCUUUAUCUGUUUCAACAAUUGGAUACUUUAAAGGAUUCGAAUGGGGUUCAUUGUGUGAAACUGAACCCUGUUGCCAUGUCUCUACCUUCAUGCAGUGGCCUUGACUAAUGGGAUCCUUUUAACGCCGCCACUGGAGGGCCUUCCGCCUGAGCCAGGAUCUCUUCUACCCUGCAUCGUUGUUGUGAACUCAUCCAUGCUGACAGCCGGCUCCAUGCUACACUGCUGCAGGCUGCAGGUAGCAUCUCUAUUCUUCUUUUUUCUCUACCUUAGUUUGAGCUUUCUGUUUUAGUUUUUGCAGCAAGAUAACCAAUGUCUUGGGAAAGCCUUCAUACUGUAUUUUAUAUAUUGGUGAAUUCUGCUUGAAGAAUUCAUGGCCCACUCCCUCUCUAAAACUUAAUCAAAUAAAUAUAAUAUAUCUCCUCUACCCUUGCUACGAGAAACAUCUUCUAUGUUAAAUAUAUAAUCUUUGCCUUGUGUUGUGUACCACUUCUUUCAGAAUAUGACCCUUAUUUCCCUUUAGUUUCUAUGACUUAAUUCUUUGCUUGAGCGACGGUUGUAGAUACUUCCCUUGAAAAAAUAAAUAGUUUUAGAUACUUGAUCCAUGUUUACGCAGACAGUUUAUGAUGGUGGUUUGGUUACAUGUUUGUGGCUGGAACAUGUGUACAUCAGAAACUUUAACUACAAUAUGGUAGACAUGUACAGGACAAGGCAAGAAAUCAGAAAUGGUUAGAGCGGUAUGCCUUGAAGAGAGCCAAGAGGAAGAGAGGCGAGUGUACAUGCCUGAAGACGGCAAGAUACCACUUCCACGACGACGUCAACAUCGUCGUGGUCUAUCUUCACCGGCACCGGCACCGGGGGCGCCGCCACAACAGGGUUAUGGAGCAGUAACUGCAAACAUAGAACCCCAUAUUAUGAUGGGUAACUGACUUUACUUAUAAGACAACAUGAACUGACAACUGCAAUUAUAACAUAUCUGGUAUUUUCAUAUUCUUUGUCAUGUGUAGAAUACAUGGUCUGAUAGAGUCAGCGUUUGUAUGAACUUUUGGUGGAUAAAGUGUUUUGUUCUCAAGAAAGUUCAUCAUUGAACACAACAAUUUGUUUGUGUUUUCUUGAGUUGCAAGACAUGAAUCUCUUCUACUGAUGUUACUAUAUGAAUGCAUAUACUAAAUCUGGAUUA
rnacentral:lncRNA from 1 species